UACGUAGGGUGCGAGCGUUGUUCGGAUUUACUGGGCGUAAAGGGCGCGUAGGCGGCCACCGCAAGUCGGUUGUGAAAUCUCUGGGCUUAACCCAGAAAGGUCAACCGAUACUGCGGGGCUAGAGUGCAGAAGGGGCAACUGGAAUUCUCGGUGUAGCGGUGAAAUGCGUAGAUAUCGAGAGGAACACCUGCGGCGAAGGCGGGUUGCUGGGCUGACACUGACGCUGAAGCGCGAAAGCUAGGGGAGCGAACGGG
rnacentral:rRNA from 1 species